rnacentral:rRNA from 1 species
CUGCGCGGAAGAUGUAACGGGGCUAAACCAUGCACCGAAGCUGCGGCAGCGACACUAUGUGUUGUUGGGUAGGGGAGCGUUCUGUAAGCCUGCGAAGGUGUGCUGUGAGGCAUGCUGGAGGUAUCAGAAGUGCGAAUGCUGACAUAAGUAACGAUAAAGCGGGUGAAAAGCCCGCUCGCCGGAAGACCAAGGGUUCCUGUCCAACGUUAAUCGGGGCAGGGUGAGUCGACCCCUAAGGCGAGGCCGAAAGGCGUAGUCGAUGGGAAACAGGUUAAUAUUCCUGUACUUGGUGUUACUGCGAAGGGGGGACGGAGAAGGCUAUGUUAGCCGGGCGACGGUUGUCCCGGUUUAAGCAUGUAGGCUGGUUAUCCAGGCAAAUCCGGAUAAUCAAGGCUGAGGUGUGAUGACGAGGCACUACGGUGCUGAAGUAACAAAUGCCCUGCUUCCAGGAAAAGCCUCUAAGCAUCAGGUAACAU